rnacentral:misc_RNA from 1 species
CUCUGCCCAGCGAUCGAUCCGCGGGUGGAACAACCGAACUGUCGUUUGGGUUGCCUCAUCCAUGCCGGUCUGAUGGUCGCUCUUCAUCAGAUUGCACGACCGACAGGAGAGUGCCAGGUUGCUGUCGUCAUCCGUU